GUGAGACUCUAGAAGUCGCACCACAUUCUGAUUAGUCAAGAAAGAGAUUCUUCCAAAUAUCUCUGGGGCGUGCUUAGGCAAAAGAUUUCUAUAGCACCGAUUUGUUUAUUCUAAGAGUGCUGUUUCCUCACCCAUGUUUCGUCCUGCUCAAGGAAGAUCUUCAAAAAGGAUCCCACAGCGUGUUCACUGCUCAGUCAUGAACUUUGUUCCUGCAGUGGUGCUUAUGAUAUUUUUUCCCCUGUGGGGAACCAGAGCCCAGUCAGUGACCCAGCCUGAUGUCCACGUCGCUGUCCCUGAAGGAGCCCAUCUGGAGCUGAGGUGCAACUACUCAUCUUCUGUCCCACCGUCUCUCUUCUGGUACGUGCAGUACCCCAACCAAGGACUCCAGCUCCUUCUGAAGUACACGUCUGGAAACAGUCUUGUAACGGGCAUCAAAAAUUUUGAGGCUGAAUUUAGGAAAAGUGAAACCUCCUUCCACCUGAAGAAAACCUCAGCCCAUCUGAGCGACUCUGCUGGGUACUUCUGUGCCCUGAGUAACACAGUGCUGGCACUGCAGGGGGAGCUGAACACAAACUUCUGGUGACUGUGAGGCUGCUGUGGUUCAAAGGCUCAACCUAGAGACUUGUCAGUAAGAUCUCAGGUUCUGUCAGGACAGGGAGUACCUAGGGGACUACUACUUAGCUUUUGUGCAGAAACAGAGUCAGAAUUCAUAAGAAAUGGACAAUUUAAGAUAAAAACACAUUAUCUGAACAGACUAGUAACUGGAACCCACCCAAGGAAUCAGUUCAAAAGAGACAGUGGCAGGGUCUGUUUUUGGGUGAGAGCAGUUUGACUAGAGACCGGUAUCAGCACUGACAGUCUGCGCUGAUGGGUCUAACCCACAAGGGGGCACUGGAGGCCUCACUUUAAUGAGGAGCUUUUCUUUAGGUGCCAGAUAGAUAACUGGAUCAGUGGGUGAACAUUUGAAAAACUGAAUGGGAAGGUGAAGAAUAAAAACAGGGGAAGAACCAGAAGUGCAUGUGACCAAACCAAAUCACUAAGCACACAGGGAGACUAUUUACUGAUCCUGUCAUUACUCAGCUCUUCCAUUUGAACAAAAAUCUUAAAAAGAUCUUCAUAAAUCUAUUUUAGUCAGACUGAGGAAGGCCUGGGCUGUGAGCUUUGACAGAGAUUAUUACCUAAGCAGAAUUGAGACUAAAAGUCUGUAAGAACCAAGUGGGGCUUGGCUCUAAAAUAGUUAUAUCUAUACAUUAUACCUGUUACUUAUAUCUAUUUAUAAUAUUUUCUAUGCAAAAAUAUAAGUCAUGACUUUUCUAACAGUCUAAUAGAUCUAUCUAUAAUAUUAAUGAUCUAAUCCCCUUUUUCUAACUUUUAUAACUAAAAUUCUUAAAAUUAGUUUCUCCUUCCUCAACUUAGAAAUUUCCCUCAUACCUUUGAUGAAAUUCCUUCUCCUACAUUGAGGAAAGAGGCAAAGAAAUGAAGGAGAUAAGGAACAAAAGUGAAGAAAGGAGACGAGAGAGAGAAGGAAAGACUGGAGGGAAAAGGAGAAGCAUCAUGUGUGAGCUGCAAAUGUGGCACUCAUCUCACGGUCGAGAACUGGAUCAGCCAUGUGGUCUUUGACUUCAGGGAAAAGGGGCUGGAUGGGAGAAGACAGAAGGGAGGACUGAGAUCAGGGCAGGCAUCGUACAAAUGUCCUAUUUCUUCCUAAACCAAUCAAAGCCUUACUGUAGACUAUUCUAUGUUCAUGCAUGAAUACAUAUACAUUUUGUAGAUUUACAAACUAUUCUAAUUUUUAAAUUUGUAUUUACUCUCUUAAAAAAUGGAUUAACAAAAUAUGUGCUGCAAAAUGAUGUUCCUUUGUUAGGUAUUCCAUGUAAAUAAAUUCACAAAGUCUCUGUUAAACUACAUGUCUUGAGUCUUCUUUAGGAAGCAUAUCACCGAAAUGACACUUCUCUAAGAUGUAUUUGCUCAGAUGAGGUUCCCAUUUUCCUCUAGCUGUCCUCUCAUUUUUUUUUUUUUACCCUCUCUAUAAACUUCUCAACUUUCCUACCUAUAACAGUUUUUAGAAAAAGGUUGGGAGUAACUUUCUUUACCUCUUCUUUUGCACCUGUGUUCCCCCACCCCAGUACACACCCUCCCCCCACACAUUAGCUGAGAAAGAUUACAUCUUCAGCAAGG